AACGAACGCUGGCGGCAUGCCUAACACAUGCAAGUCGAACGAGACCUUCGGGUCUAGUGGCGCACGGGUGCGUAACGCGAGGGAAUCUGCCCAAAGGUACGGAAUAACUCCUCGAAAGGGGUGCUAAUACCGUAUGAUGUCGCAAGACCAAAGAUUUAUCGCCUUUGGAUGAGCCCGCGUAAGAUUAGCUAGUUGGUGGGGUAAAGGCCUACCAAGGCGACGAUCUUUAGCUGGUCUGAGAGGAUGAUCAGCCACACUGGGACUGAGACACGGCCCAGACUCCUACGGGAGGCAGCAGUGGGGAAUAUUGGACAAUGGGCGAAAGCCUGAUCCAGCAAUGCCGCGUGAGUGAUGAAGGCCUUAGGGUUGUAAAGCUCUUUUACC
rnacentral:rRNA from 1 species